GCUUGAGAGGCACGCAUUUCACAAAAUUCUCAUACUCUCACGCUGAUCACAAAUUUCUCAUGCUCAAAAAUCUGCAGGUGUUGGAAGUUCAAACUAAAGCGAAAAUUGUUUUAGAGGUGAGUAAAAACCACGAGGGGAAUAUAUAAGGCGAAUGCAUAGUCUUUUUCCUGGGAUAUGUGAUUCAAGAACUAGAGGGCAUUGGUUUAAAGCAGGGCUGUCAAACUACUGGCCCGCAGGAUGCUAUGGGGGAAAGUUUAGUUUCUCCCCUGCAGUGGUCCCAGCACCGACACCCCCCUCCCCUCCCGAGGCACCACUCACACCUCCCACCCUCAUCUCCGGCGGCUCUGUGUCCGUCGGCCGCUCUGUCCACACCCCAUGGAGUUUUAACCCCGGCCUGGAGCCAGGAGCGGAUCGGAUUAAUUUUGCCAGAAGUUGUAAGACAACAAACAAGAACUGAGAUUCCUGAACUCUAAAGAUGUUGAGUGAAGAAACAUAAAUAAAACUCCCAGAUGCUGACUGAUGAACAAAAUACACUGAUUUCAGAUUUCUGGCAUCUGCACAAUUUAGCUUUAUGUAUUUUACUGCAUUGUAUUAUCAUUUUUAAUGUUAUUUGCAUGCUCAAACACUGUGCACAUAUUUUCUUCAAGGGCUUGGAAUUAAAAUUAUGUAACACCCUUUUUUAUUAGUUAUUAUUACAAUGGUCCAAUUUUGUUAGUAUGUAGAAUAGAGUGUGCUGGCGUUGAAAAGCAAACAAACUGGAGAUCAUUUUGCAUUGGUGAUCAUUUACAGAUGAAAUUGUAUCAAUUGUAAGAUUAGACUAUCUACCACCUGUGUGUGCAGUAUGCAUUGCACUAUAAUUGACAUAAGAUCAUAGGACCAUAGAUAUAGGAGCAGAAUUAAGGCACUCAGCCCAUUGAGUCUAUUCCGCCAUUCAAUCAUGGCUGAUCUAUUUUCCCCUCUCAAUCUGCCGUCUCCCUGUAACCUUUGGCCCCUUUCCUACUCAGUCUCUGCCUAUAAAAUACCCAAUAUCUUGGUCUCCAUGACCAUCUGUGGCAAUUAACUCUGCAGAUUCACAACCCUCUGGCUAAAGAAAUUAAUCCUCAUCUCCAUUUUGAAGGUACGUCCUUUUUGUUCUGAGGAUGUGGCCUCUGGCUCGAGACUCUCCCUUACUGGAAACAUUCUAUCCACUCAAUCUAGGCCUUAAGGGCCUGUCCCACGAACAUGCGACUCCAUGUGGCAAGCGUGACCUAACGUGGUCACUUUAGCCAUACGGC